AGAGUUUGAUCAUGGCUCAGAAUCAACGCUGGCGGCGUGCCUAACACAUGCAAGUCGCACGAGAAAGGGUAGCAAUACCUGAGUACAGUGGCGCACGGGUGAGUAACACGUGAAUAAUCUACCUCCGAGUGGGGAAUAACUUAGGGAAACCUGAGCUAAUACCGCAUAACACUUACGAGUCAAAGCAGCAAUGCGCUUGGAGAGGAGUUCGCGGCAGAUUAGUUAGUUGGCGGGGUAAUGGCCCACCAAGACGAUGAUCUGUAUCCGGCCUGAGAGGGCGCACGGACACACUGGAACUGAAACACGGUCCAGACUCCUACGGGAGGCAGCAGUGGGGAAUUUUGCGCAAUGGGGGAAACCCUGACGCAGCAACGCCGCGUGGAGGAUGAAAUCCCAUGGGAUGUAAACUCCUUUCGAUCGGGACGAUUAUGACGGUACCGGAAGAAGAAGCCCCGGCUAACUUCGUGCCAGCAGCCGCGGUAAUACGAGGGGGGCGAGCGUUGUUCGGAAUUAUUGGGCGUAAAGGGUGCGUAGGCGGUUUGAUAAGUCUGAUGUGAAAUCUAUGGGCUCAACCCAUAGUCUGCAUUAGAAACUGUCGGGCUUGAGUAUGGGAGAGGUGAGUGGAAUUUCCGGUGUAGCGGUGAAAUGCGUAGAUAUCGGAAGGAACACCUGUGGCGAAAGCGGCUCACUGGACCAUUACUGACGCUGAUGCACGAAAGCUAGGGGAGCAAACAGGAUUAGAUACCCUAGUAGUCC
rnacentral:rRNA from 1 species